rnacentral:rRNA from 1 species
GUGGGGAAUAUUGGACAAUGGGGGCAACCCUGAUCCAGCCAUGCCGCGUGUGUGAAGAAGGCCUUAGGGUUGUAAAGCACUUUCAGUGGGGAGGAAGGCUUUGGGCUAAUACCCUGGAGUACUUGACGUUACCCACAGAAGAAGCACCGGCUAAUUUCGUGCCAGCAGCCGCGGUAAUACGAAAGGUGCGAGCGUUAAUCGGAAUUACUGGGCGUAAAGCGCGCGUAGGCGGUUUGUUAAGUCUGAUGUGAAAGCCUCGGGCUCAACCUGGGAAUGGCAUCGGAUACUGGCAAGCUAGAAUGCGGUAGAGGGGGGUGGAAUUCCAGGUGUAGCGGUGAAAUGCGUAGAUAUUCGGAAGAACACCAGUGGCGAAGGCGACUCACUGGCCCAAUACUGACGCUGAGGCGCGAAAGCGUGGGGAGCAAACAGGAUUAGAUACCCGUGUAGUCC